AUUGAACGCUGGCGGCAGGCCUAACACAUGCAAGUCGAACGGUAACAGGAAGCAGCUUGCUGCUUUGCUGACGAGUGGCGGACGGGUGAGUAAUGUCUGGGAAACUGCCUGAUGGAGGGGGAUAACUACUGGAAACGGUAGCUAAUACCGCAUAAGCGCACAGUGCUGCAUGGCACAGUGUGAAAAACUCCGGUGGUAUGAGAUGGACCCGCGUCUGAUUAGCUAGUUGGUGGGGUAACGGCCUACCAAGGCGACGAUCAGUAGCCGGCCUGAGAGGGUGAACGGCCACAUUGGGACUGAGACACGGCCCAA
rnacentral:rRNA from 1 species